rnacentral:rRNA from 1 species
UGGGGAAUAUUGCACAAUGGGGGGAACCCUGAUGCAGCCAUGCCGCGUGAAUGAAGAAGGCCUUCGGGUUGUAAAGUUCUUUCGGUGACGAGGAAGGUUGGUAGGUUAAUAGCCUAUCAAAUUGACGUUAAUCACAGAAGAAGCACCGGCUAACUCCGUGCCAGCAGCCGCGGUAAUACGGGGGGUGCGAGCGUUAAUCGGAAUAACUGGGCGUAAAGGGCACGCAGGCGGUGACUUAAGUGAGAUGUGAAAGCCCCGAGCUUAGCUUGGGAAUUGCAUUUCAUACUGGGUCGCUAGAGUACUUUAGGGAGGGGUAGAAUUCCACGUGUAGCGGUGAAAUGCGUAGAGAUGUGGAGGAAUACCGAAGGCGAAGGCAGCCCCUUGGGAAUGUACUGACGCUCAUGUGCGAAAGCGUGGGGAGCAAACAGGAUUAGAUACCCUGGUAGUCCACGCUGUAAACGAUGUCGAUUUGGGGAUUGGGCUUUGAGCUUGGUGCCCGUAGCUAACGUGAUAAAUCGACCGCCUGGGGAGUACGGCCGCAAGGUUA